AGAGUUUGAUCCUGGCUCAGGACGAACGCUGGCGGCGUGCCUAACACAUGCAAGUCGAACGGGAUCCAUGCCAUGAAGUUUUCGGAUGGAUUGGUGUGGUGAGAGUGGCGAACGGGCGAGUAACGCGUGAGCAACCUACCUCGUACUGGGGGAUAACGUCGGGAAACCGGCGCUAAUACCGCAUAAGACUACGAUGUCGCAUGGCGUUGUAGUCAAAGCUCCGGCGGUACGAGACGGGCUCGCGUCCGAUUAGCUAGUUGGUAGGGUAACGGCCUACCAAGGCGACGAUCGGUAGCCGGACUGAGAGGUCGGCCGGCCGCAUUGGGACUGAGACACGGCCCAGACUCCUACGGGAGGCAGCAGUGGGGAAUAUUGCGCAAUGGGGGAAACCCUGACGCAGCGACGCCGCGUGAAGGAAGAAGGCCUUCGGGUUGUAAACUUCUUUGGCAGGGGACGAAGAAAGACGGUACCCUGAGAACAAGCCACGGCUAACUACGUGCCAGCAGCCGCGGUAAUACGUAGGUGGCGAGCGUUGUCCGGAAUUACUGGGCGUAAAGGGCGUGUAGGCGGGGGGACAAGUCAGAUGUGAAAUACCGCAGCUUAACUGCGGGGCUGCAUCUGAAACUGUUCUUCUUGAGUGUCGGAGAGGAAAGUGGAAUUCCCAGUGUAGCGGUGAAAUGCGUAGAGAUUGGGAGGAACACCAGUGGCGAAGGCGGCUUUCUGGACGACAACUGACGCUGAGGCGCGAAAGCGUGGGGAGCAAACAGGAUUAGAUACCCUGGUAGUCCACGCUGUAAACGAUGGAUACUAGGUGUAGGAGGUAUCGACCCCUUCUGUGCCGGAGUUAACACAAUAAGUAUCCCGCCUGGGGGAGUACGGCCGCAAGGUUGAAACUCAAAUGAAUUGACGG
rnacentral:rRNA from 1 species